rnacentral:rRNA from 1 species
CCCUUAGAUGUUCUGGGCUGCACACGCGCUACACUGAAGGGAUCAGCGUGUUCUUUUCCUGGUCCGAAAGGAUCGGGUAACCCGCUGAACCCCCUUCGUGGUAGGGAUCGGAGCUUGCAAUUAUUCUCCGUGAACCAGGAAUUCCCAGUAAGCGCAAGUCAUAAGCUUGCGUUGUUUACGUCCCUGCCCUUUGUACACACCGCCCGUCGCUACUACCGAUUGGACGUUUUAGUGAGGAUUUUGGACUGAGCCAAUGGUGGUUCACACCACUGUUGUGCAUGGAAAGAUCUCCAAACUUGAGCGUUUAGAGGAAGUAAAAGUCGUAACA